rnacentral:rRNA from 1 species
UACGGGGGGGGCAAGCGUUGUUCGGAAUUACUGGGCGUAAAGGGCUCGUAGGCGGCCAACUAAGUCAGACGUGAAAUCCCUCGGCUUAACCGGGGAACUGCGUCUGAUACUGGAUGGCUUGAGUUUGGGAGAGGGAUGCGGAAUUCCAGGUGUAGCGGUGAAAUGCGUAGAUAUCUGGAGGAACACCGGUGGCGAAGGCGGCUCACUGGCCCGGUACUGACGCUGAGGUGCGAAAGCGCGGGGAGCAAACAGG